rnacentral:rRNA from 1 species
AUACGUAGGUGGCGAGCGUUGUCCGGAAUUACUGGGCGUAAAGGGCGUGUAGGCGGCCUUUUAAGUCAGAUGUGAAAUCUCAGGGCUUAACCCUGAAACUGCAUUUGAGACUGGAGGGCUUGAGGAUCGGAGAGGGCAGUGGAAUUCCCAGUGUAGCGGUGAAAUGCGUAGAUAUUGGGAGGAACACCAGUGGCGAAGGCGACUGCCUGGACGACACCUGACGCUGAGGCGCGAAAGCUAGGGGAGCAAACGGGAUUAAAUACCCCGGUAGUCCUAGCCGUAAACGAUGGGUACUAGGUGUGGGAGGUAUCGACCCCUUCCGUGCCGCAGUUAACACAAUAAGUACCCCGCCUGGGGAGUACGGCCGCAAGGUUGAA